AUUGAACGCUGGCGGCAUGCUUUACACAUGCAAGUCGAACGGCAGCGCGGGCUUCGGCCUGGCGGCGAGUGGCGAACGGGUGAGUAAUAUAUCGGAACGUACCCAAGAGUGGGGGAUAACGUAGCGAAAGUUACGCUAAUACCGCAUACGAUCUAAGGAUGAAAGCAGGGGAUCGCAAGACCUUGUGCUCCUGGAGCGGCCGAUAUCUGAUUAGCUAGUUGGUGAGGUAAAGGCUCACCAAGGCAACGAUCAGUAGCUGGUCUGAGAGGACGACCAGCCACACUGGAACUGAGACACGGUCCAGACUCCUACGGGAGGCAGCAGUGGGGAAUUUUGGACAAUGGGGGCAACCCUGAUCCAGCAAUGCCGCGUGAGUGAAGAAGGCCUUCGGGUUGUAAAGCUCUUUUGUCAGGGAAGAAAAGGGUCUGGCUAAUAUCCAGAUCUGCUGACGGUACCUGAAGAAUAAGCACCGGCUAACUACGUGCCAGCAGCCGCGGUAAUACGUAGGGUGCAAGCGUUAAUCGGAAUUACUGGGCGUAAAGCGUGCGCAGGCGGUUUCGUAAGUCUGUCGUGAAAUCCCCGGGCUUAACCUGGGAAUGGCGAUGGAGACUGCGAGGCUAGAGUUUGGCAGAGGGGGGUAGAAUUCCACGUGUAGCAGUGAAAUGCGUAGAGAUGUGGAGGAACACCGAUGGCGAAGGCAGCCCCCUGGGUCAAAACUGACGCUCAUGCACGAAAGCGUGGGGAGCAAACAGGAUUAGAUACCCUGGUAGUCCACGCCCUAAACGAUGUCUACUAGUUGUUGGGUCUUAAUUGACUUAGUAACGCAGCUAACGCG
rnacentral:rRNA from 1 species